UACGGAGGGUGCGAACGUUACUCGGAAUCACUGGGCGUAAAGCGCGCGUAGGCGGUCCGUUAAGUGGGAUGUGAAAUCCCCGGGCUUAACCUGGGAAUUGCAUUUCAAACUGGCGGACUAGAGUGCGGUAGAGGGAGGUAGAAUUUCCUGUGUAGCGGUGAAAUGCGUAGAUAUAGGAAGGAAUACCAGUGGCGAAGGCGGCCUCCUGGAUCGACACUGACGCUGAGGCGCGAAAGCGUGGGGAGCAAACAGG
rnacentral:rRNA from 1 species